rnacentral:rRNA from 1 species
AGGUACGCUGGCGGCGUGUCUUAGCCAUGCAAGUCGAGCGGACGUUAUGGGGGUAACUUAUAAGUCAGCGGCGGACGGCGGAGUAACACGUAGCUAACCUACCCUCUGGACGGGGAUAACCUACCGAAAAGGUGGGCUAAUACCCGAUGUAGUCAGUCCUGGUAUAGGGGGUGAUGAAAGGUGGGCUUCUGUUUACAAGCUCAUGCUGGAGGAGGGGGCUGCGGCCUAUCAGGGUAGUUGGUAGGGUAAUAGCCUACCAAGCCGAUGACGGGUAGCCGGCCUGAGAGGGUGACCGGCCCGAGGGGCACUGAGAUACGGGUCCCACUCCUACGGGAGGCAGCAGGCUAGAAAUUUGGGCAAUGGGGGAAACCCUGACCCAGUGACGCCGCGUGCAGGAAGGAGCCCUUCGGGGUGUAAACUGCUGUCGUGUAGGGAGAAGGGUACUAAGGUGAACAAUCGUUAGUACUUGACGGUACUACAGGAGGAAGCCCAGGCUAACCUCGUG